rnacentral:lncRNA from 1 species
GAAAAUUUCCGAAAUCUUGGCCCCAUGCACCGACCUAGCCAAGUCCCACCACCAAACUUGGAUAGCUUGAAAAGCCACUAAAAUGAAAAAUUUGUUGCACCAAGAUUUUUACCGUAGGCAUUUGGUCAUAUAAAGAGUGCAUUCCAACAAUCAAACCUCAAAAACGAACCAUUUGAAAUUUUCCCAAAUCUUGGCCCCAUGCACAGACCUAGCCAAGUAUCACCACCAAACUUGGCUAGCUUGAAAACCCACCAAAAUGAAAACUUUCUUGCACCAAUAUUUUUACAGUAGCCAUUUGGUCAAAUAAAGAGUGUAUUCCAACCAUGAAAUCUCAAAAACCAACAAUUUUAAAUUUUCCCAAAUCUUGGCCUCAAGCACCGACCUAACCAAGUCUCACCACCAAACUUGGCUAGCUUGAAAACCCACCGAAAUAAAAAAUUUGUUGCACCAAGAUUUUUACUGUAUCCAUUUGGUCAGAUAAAGAGUGCAUUCCAACCAUCAAACCUAAAAAACAAACACUUUGAAAUUUCCGAAAUCUUGGCCCCAUGCACAGACCUAGCCAAGUCUCACCACCAAACUUGGCUAACUGGAAAAGCCACUAAAAUGAAAAAUUUGUUGCACCAAGAUCUUUACAGUAGCCAUUUGGUCAUAUAAAGAGCGCAUUCCAACCAUUAAACCUAAAAAACAAACACUUUGAAAAUUUCCCAAAUUUUGGCCCCAUGCACGACCUAGCCAAGUCUCACCACCAAACUUGGCUAGCUUUAAAACCAACAAAAAUGAAAUAUUUCUUGCACCAAGAUUUUUACAGUAGCCAUUUGGUCAUAUAAAGAGUGCAUUCCAACCAU